rnacentral:rRNA from 1 species
CACGUAGGGUGCGAGCGUUGUCCGGAAUUAUUGGGCGUAAAGAGCUCGUAGGCGGUGUGUCGCGUCGGCCGUGAAAACUUGGGGCUUAACUCUGAGCGUGCGGUCGAUACGGGCAUCACUUGAGUUCAGCAGGGGAGACUGGAAUUCCUGGUGUAGCGGUGAAAUGCGCAGAUAUCAGGAGGAACACCGGUGGCGAAGGCGGGUCUCUGGGCCGAUACUGACGCUGAGGAGCGAAAGCAUGGGGAGCGAACAGG